rnacentral:rRNA from 2 species
CAUUAUUUGACGUUAGCGACAGAAGAAGCACCGGCUAACUCCGUGCCAGCAGCCGCGGUAAUACGGAGGGUGCGAGCGUUAAUCGGAAUUACUGGGCGUAAAGCGCAUGCAGGUGGUUGUUAAGUCAGAUGUGAAAGCCCGGGGCUCAACCUCGGAAUUGCAUUUGAAACUGGCAGACUAGAGUACUGUAGAGGGGGGUAGAAUUUCAGGUGUAGCGGUGAAAUGCGUAGAGAUCUGAAGGAAUACCGGUGGCGAAGGCGGCCCCCUGGACAGAUACUGACACUCAGAUGCGAAAGCGUGGGGAGCAAACAGGAUUAGAUACCCUGGUAGUCCACGCCGUAAACGAUGUCUACUUGGAGGUUGUGGCCUUGAGCCGUGGCUUUCGGAGCUAACGCGUUAAGUAGACCGCCUGGGGAGUACGGUCGCAAGAUUAAAACUCAAAUGAAUUGACGGGGGCCCGCACAAGCGGUGGAGCAUGUGGUUUAAUUCGAUGCAACGCGAAGAACCUUACCUACUCUUGACAUCCAGAGAACUUUCCAGAGAUGGAUUGGUGCCUUCGGGAACUCUGAGACAGGUGCUGCAUGGCUGUCGUCAGCUCGUGUUGUGAAAUGUUGGGUUAAGUCCCGCAACGAGCGCAACCCUUAUCCUUGUUUGCCAGCGAGUAAUGUCGGGAACUCCAGGGAGACUGCCGGUGAUAAACCGGAGGAAGGUGGGGACGACGUCAAGUCAUCAUGGCCCUUACGAGUAGGGCUACACACGUGCUACAAUGGCGCAUACAGAGGGCAGCCAACUUGCGAAAGUGAGCGAAUCCCAAAAAGUGCGUCGUAGUCCGGAUUGGAGUCUGCAACUCGACUCCAUGAAGUCGGAAUCGCUAGUAAUCGUGGAUCAGAAUGCCACGGUGAAUACGUUCCCGGGCCUUGUACACACCGCCCGUCACACCAUGGGAGUGGGCUGCAAAAGAAGUAGUGUAGUUAACCUUCGGGGGACGCUACUAGAGUGGUUCAGGU